rnacentral:rRNA from 1 species
UACAGAGACUGCAAGCGUUGUUCGGAUUCAUUGGGCGUAAAGGGUCCGUAGGCGGUCGGUUAAGUCGGAUGUGAAAUCUCGUGGCCUAACCACGAGCGGUCAUUCGAAACUAAUCGGCUAGAGGGCUGGAGAGGAGACUGGAAUUGUCGGUGUAGCGGUGAAAUGCGCAGAUAUCGAGAGGAACACCAGCGGCGAAGGCGAGUCCCUGGAAAACACCUGACACUGAGGCACGAAAGCUAGGGGAGCAAACAGG